GAUGAAGAACGUAGCGAAAUGCGAUAAGUAGUGUGAAUUGCAGAAUUCAGUGAAUCAUCGAAUCUUUGAACGCACAUUGCGCCCCUUGGUAUCCCGAGGGGCAUGCCUGUUCGAGCGUCAUUUCACCACUCAAGCCUGGCUUGGUGUUGGGCGACGUCCUCUUUGGGGACGCGCCUCGAAACGCUCGGCGGCGUGGCACCGGCUUUAAGCGUAGCAGAAUCUUUCGCUUUGGAAGUCGGGGCCCCGUCUGCCGGAAGACCUGCUCGCAAGGUUGACCUCGGAUCAGGCGGGGCUACCCGCUGAAUUUAAGCAUAUCAAUAAGCGGAGGA
rnacentral:misc_RNA from 1 species